AUAAACAUGCUCUGUGAGUGGGAGAAUUCGAAUGCUGCAUGCCAGCUGACUUUCUGUCACCCACACUGACCCUCUCAAUACUGCAUGCUGAGCUCCACUAACUCCCAUACUAUGUAAUUGAUGGAGUGGAACAAACUUCACAGCAAGUUAAAUGCAGACUUUAUUCAAGCUCCAAGGGACUUGGAAAGACCUUCAGCCCAGUCAGCCCAGAUGAGCCCACCUCUGUGAGCCCCUUGAUUUGGAAUGGCGGCUUGUAUGUCUGUGUCAACAGGAAGCUCACUGCAUUGUGACUCAGGUGAGGAGGCCUGCCCUGGGAGCAAACUCCUCUGCAGCCAUCAUCACGACAGGCACAGCACAAGGGUAAGCCCUGGACCAAGCCACAAAGGUAGCAAGAUUGGUUUUCGGAGUUUCUCGUAGGCUGUUCUUCUUGCCUUCUGUCACACUCACUCCAUCAGGGCCUGUUUGCUGCCCAGAUGAGCCACACACAUCGGCUGGAUGAAAUGAAACUUGCCCUUCUUGUCCUACAUGUCUGUAUCUAAAAGUAUACAUUUUGGAAAGAGGCCUUAUUAAUCUAAAUACUUUUUAUUUUAAGCACAGGCCAAUUCCACCAGCAAAGGUGCCCAGCUCACCUGCUUGGUCCCCUGGAGAAAUAUUGAGGCCACAGGAAAAUGGGGCCUGAAGACUGAUACUCCCAGGAAGAAGCAAGACUGAGAGCAAGAAGGAGACAAGGGGACCAAGAGCAACAGGAGCAGAAAAAGAAAGAGGAAGAGGACGAGGGAGGGAGGAAGGAGAGAAGGGCAAGAAAGAUGACUUAUUUGUCCACAGUGCCAAUGACAGGUUCCACAUUUUCCCAAAUGUAUGAGCCUCUAACCUAAGACAUGUCCAAAAGUUCUUUACUUACAGGGACAUGAUCUAGGGGCUUAGAGGGCCCUGGAAAAGUAAGAUAAUAUAUUUUAAAGACCCAAUUUUACACAAAAGAACAAAAAGAGGAAGAACUAUAGCAGAAUGCCACUGCUGUGGAUUCAGACUUCACCUCCCUGCCCACGGAGAUGAUUGAAGGGGAAAAAGGACAGAACAUGAAACUAACAAGCUUGAGGCCUUAUCAGUGUCUAUAUUGGCAAAUUGAGGAGCGAUGCACUCCCCAAGGCUGAAUGUUUUUCUACCAAUGCAUAAGAUCUACCAGCCACAGACAGGCACUGUUUUUAGAUGGUCUUGAGGCAUCUCAUUUUACAAAGGAUAUAGAAACAGACGGAUGCUAUAUAGAAACUGGUGGAGUGGGGUGGAAGAGAAGACAGAAGACAAGGGUUAUAAUUUAAUCAUAUAAACUCUGGAUGCAAUAACCAAGGUCUCCCCAGAAAGCUGUCAGUGUAUACUUGUGUGGUGAGUAGAUUUCUAAUCAGCUCUAGAAGGGUGGCCAAACACAGCUAAACUGUGUCUUUUAGUAGCAGGAAAAGCAUCUGCUAUAGUUUAGAUGUUUGUCCCCCAAACUCCAUAUUGAAAUUUGACCCCCAAUAUUGGAUGGGGGCCUAAGGGGAGGUGUUUGGAUCCUGAGGACAGAUCCCUCAUGAAUGUCUUGGUACUGUCCUCACAGUGAAGAGUGAGUUCUCACACUAUCAGCUCCCUUGAGAAACUGGUUGUCAAAACAAGCCUGGCACUCCCCAUCCCCUCACCACGUGGUCUCUGCACACACGAGCUUCCAUUCACUUUUCAUCAUGUAUGGAACCAACCCGAGGACCUCAUUGGAAAGAGAGUGGAUGCUGGCACCAUGCUUCUUGUUCAGCCUGCAGAACUGGGAGACAACAUAAACCUCUUUCCUUUAUAACUUACCCAGACUUGAGUAUUUCUUUGUAGCAAUACAAACAGACAAAGCAUCUGACAAGCAAGUUGUUCAAUGAAGAGAUUGUUAGAGCCUGGGGAAGAGUCAUCAUGUUCAAUUGGUACAAGAUGCAAUUAACUAAUAUGAUUUGGGACAGCUGUCUCCAUUGAGGUCACCAGGGUGUCAUGGAGUGAAGCUUCAGGAGGAAGAGCUGACUACUUCCUACCCUGGGCUCCAUUUUUGUCAGGGCUCUACAGAGAGACAGAACUGACAAGAUAUAAAGAGAGGAAUAAAACAAAAAUCCAGAUAUUUCUAUAAAUCCGAUUAUUUGCCAAAUUAAAUGUGAAAGCUUGCCUCUAUCUCUUUCCAUUGUGUGCAGAUAUUUUGCACAGUGUGGAUUUGGUCUCUAGGUGUGAGUGUGCCCUGGACACAAUGCAUAGUAGACAGACAUUGUGCUUCGUUGUAGACACUGUGCUAGGCACGUAUUACACAUUGCCCCAAAUCCUUAUCACAAACACAUCAGGAGUAUGAUGGCCAAGGAGGAAGCUGUGGCUCAGCCCAUUGAGGCUGUAUAUCCAGGGAUCAACAGCCAGUAAGUGGGUGUGCUGACUCCCAAGGCCAAAGCCCACCUACUUGCCAGGUAACUUUCUAGGGAUAUGAAGGCAUUCUAUGUUAUGAUGGUGUGUGUUACAUGAGUGUAUCUGUCUACCAAAAGUGUGCUUCCAUGAUUUAUGCAAUCAGAUAUGGGAUAUAAUGGUAACUCAUGUUUUUACCCAAGGAUUUUUUCAUCACCAUAAAACAUCACUUCUACUCAGCUUUAUUCUAAUGAUUUGAGGCAGAGUUUAAAAAUCUGUCAAAAUUAAAUAUAUUUUUAACAAAGUGAAGACAUCUAGACAAACAGACAAUGGGGUAGGAAAGAUGGAGCUAAAACCAGGGCUGAGUUUCAUUCACAGAUGGCUCGAGGUCCUACUCAAUUACUAGAAAUGGGCUAAAUAUUCACCUCUAAGCUUUCCAAUAAGCAACACAGUAGGAACAAUAUCAACGCAAUAGGCCUCAGAGUCCAUGAGAAAUAAACUAAACAGUUGCUUAGGGAAAGCAGAGCUAUUUCUGGUAAGAAAUUCAGAGAGAGUUUUCCUUUGAGUCUUCAUAAAGAAGACACUCUUCGAUGUAGGGCGCAGCAUUAACUACAUUCUUAUGCAAGUUGUAAAGGCUAAAUCUCAUAAAAUAUUUUAAUAUAGGCCAUAACACCAAGCAGCAAAAAUAGAGAACUAGAGGAUGGGGAGAUGGAAUUUGCUGUGUUUGGAAAUUAAUACGAUUAUUGGUUUUCUGUGUUCUCACUUAAUCCAGGGUUUUAAGGAAUCUAGAGAAAAAUCAGGAUUGAUGUUUUUCAUUAGUGCGUUUUCUUACAACUAAAGCUCUUGAACGCUCUGGGUGGUGGGGAGUUUGGGUUGCACUUGGCUUGUGAUGAGUUUCCCAGGGAGAUGCACUUCUCAGCUGGACCACCUGAGCACACCACCAGGAAAAGCUUUUGGGUAACCCCGGAGGCAGGAAAAUUUCCUAUGGGUGCUUUAUUCAGCUGUAGUCCUAUAAUCAGCCUUUCACAUAAUUUGAUAGAACUGACCAAUGUGAAAUGAAACUGUUAAUAAGAUCCCAAACUCUCCAGAGAAGAGGACUCUCUAUGGCUAGUAGAAACACCCAAAUUAAAAUAAUGGAAACCCAAUGGCCAUAGUUAGAGAAGGGUGGUCACGUGCCUUUUGUUUCUGAAGAGGGCAGUUCCAAACAAACAUGCUGUCUGUGCCUCUGAGCUAAGACAGUUCUUGUAAAGGGAGCUGAGGCACCAUGGCUGGAAAUCUCCUCCAACCAGCCUGAAAGGGCAUCCAAUAGACACUUAUGGUUUGGGGUUUAGAAAGUACCCAGUCAAGACUGUUAUUUUCAACCAAUCAGAAUUGAAUGUGUUCAAAUCAUUCAUUUACAUAUACAGACCUGAUUGAAGACUGUGACAGGAAUUUUCUUUAUUUAAGCCAGACCCUUUCUUUGUUCUCCAGAAUGUGCUUUUGUUUUCCACCAAAGCCUGUGUCUUCCCGAUACCUAGA
rnacentral:lncRNA from 10 species